rnacentral:rRNA from 1 species
GUACUAAGGUAGCAUAAUAAUUUGCCUUCUAAUUAAAGGAUAGAAUGAAUGGGUUAACGCAGAAAUAACUGUCUCUACUCUACUAAUAAAACUUAAUCUAAAGGUGAAAAAGCCUUUAUAAAAUAAAAAGACAAAAAGACCCUAUCGAGCUUUUAUCUAAUGUAAUAAACAAAUAGAUUUUUGUUGGGGCAACAUGAAUUCUAUACGCCAAUUCAAACAUACACAAAUACCAUUCAAUUUCAUUGAAUUUUUUCAAGUUACCGUAGGGAUAACAGGCUUAUCUUUCUAAAGAGCCCUAAUCGAUAGAAAAGUUUGGCACCUCGAUGUUGGCUUAUAAUUUCUAAUUGGGGCA